rnacentral:rRNA from 1 species
AUGGGUCUCGUCUCAGGUGCUCUGAAAUGGUGGGAGGAGUGGCAGCUGCGUAUCCUGGUGCUCAGCAGCCUAUGUGUCCACUUCUUCCUCUACUUCUCCAUGUGGGUGCGUCGAGUCCCCGGCCUACGUAGGCUGAGAGUGAUGGUGUGGAUGGCGUACAUAGGAGGCCACGCCCUGGCAAUCUACGCCCUUGCCACCCUCUUCAACCGCCAUAAGCAGUGGACGACGGAUGCGGUGGGUGAGAGCAGCAGCGACCUGGAGGUGAUAUGGGCGCCUCUUCUCCUCAUCCACCUGGGUGGCCACGUGACAUUGAGCGCCUACUGCCUCGAGGACAAUGAGUUGUGGCUACGACAUGUCAUAACUCUGGUAUCUCUGGUCACCGUCGCCUUGUACGUCUUCUGCAAGUGGUGGUCCGGCGAGUUGAGGCUGCUGCUGGCGGCAGUUAUGCUCUUCGUCUUCGGCAUCCUCAAAUUUGGUCUCAAGCCAUGGACUCUCAGGAGAGCUAGCUAUAGUCAGAUGCUCGCUUCCACCGAUGUGUCCCUACCAAGAGAGGGGGAAAAAAGAAGUCGUGAUGGAGCAACAGGGGACAGCCCCCUUUCCCUUGAUGAAUAUGUGACACAAGCAAAGGCGACAAUGUGCACAGCGAGCUGCGAGCAACAAGCUGCUACCCCGCCUACGGCAAUAGCAGUCAGACACAUUGAUUACUUUGUGGACCUGUCCGCUCCGUACGGUGGUCGGCUAAGUGACUUGUGGUAUCUCCAGAACAACAACAAGAAGACGACGAAUGCAUCAUACAAGAUGUUGCAAAUGUGCUUUGAUCAAAUAUUUGAUCUCUUGUACACCAAAAUGGGAUAUGUUGAUGGAGAAACCAAUGUGGGAUUCACUUCUUUUGAGAUUCUGUUUACGCUUUUGCUUCCAUUAGUGGCCUUAGCUUCCCUGAUGCUCUUCGCCACAAGCAACAAGCAUGGUUACAAGAGCAGGGACGUCAAGGUGACAUACAUCCUUUUCUCUUGCACUACUUUGCUGGAGUUCUUACAGUUAUGGUGUGGUAUUGUCACUGCGUGCAUUCCUUGCCUGAAAUUCAUCAACGAGUAUCUCGAGGGAUGGCAUGACAUGGUUUCCCAGUACGACCUCAUGUCGUUCUAUGUUCGCAAGAAGAAACCCACCUUCCUGAUGAAGAUCUUUUUCUUCGAAUGUCUAAUGGGGUAUGUUAGCAAGGUUUGGUAUGUAAGGAAGGUGCCUGCAGCCUACGAAAUUACGGAGCUAGUUCAACGGCACAUAGAAGAAGAUGGAUGGAAGACGUUCAUAACUGGAGAGGUUCAGCGAUUUCAGGGGCCAGCUGACUCUGGAGAGGUUCAGUGA